GACGGAGGUGGCAAACGUUGCUCGGAAUUACUGGGCUUAAAGGGCGUGUAGGCGGUCGAUUAAGUCGGGUGUGAAAAACCUCAGCUCAACCGAGGAAUUGCAUUCGAUACUGAUCGGCUAGAGUGCGAGAGGGGCAAGUGGAACUCCAGGUGUAGCGGUGAAAUGCGUAGAUAUCUGGAGGAACGCCGGUGGCGAAAGCGACUUGCUGGCUCGUAACUGACGCUGAGGCGCGAAAGCCAGGGGAGCAAACGGG
rnacentral:rRNA from 1 species